AAAAUAUAAAUUUGUUCUAUUUGUGACGCUCAACGCGCUGCAAGUCCGGCCUCUCCCAUCUCCUCAUUGUUUUUUUAGGAGCAUAUACACCGAAGAUUACGUAUGUAACCUUCAUUAUGUUUCACUAUAUUGGAUCACUCCAAUAUGUUGGUAUACCAGUACCAGAUUAGUCGGUGCUAGAAGGACCUGGCAAGCCAGAGUCAAAGUCCCAGAGCGGGACCAAGGCGUUGGGACCGUCAAUGUGGAAGGGUGGGUCCCGGCACAGUCCCCGGAAGGGGAGGCGAAGCCCAGGACCGCUGAACCAACCACAGAGGGAGGUGCCAUAUUUACCCGAUAUCUUGCAAAGGUGCAAGAGGAAGCCCAGCUGGCCGCAGCACAGAUAUCAGCGAGGGGCACUCCUCUCAGUAGAACCCAGGACGCAGCCAUAUCUCAUGUUGAAUGUGCCACCACAGAUCCCAGCACUGGCCUGCCAGCCAGGCAGUAUGCUGUCGUAAUUGUGUCCAUGAUCCAGUGAGACAAAGAGCUGGUCUGUUGUUCUCACUGACCGUGUCCGCUCCCCAUAGGCAGCCAGUGCCCUCACAGGGCACAGCAUGCCGGAGGGAGGCCCAGACCCCCCCGCCACUGCCGGGGAGGCGCGGGUCGUAAGCAGACAGGAUAAAAAGAGAUGUUCACAUGUCUGUCUGACAGAACCUCCGGGAGGAAUGAAGGGUUGGGGCGGAGAGAUAUACUCUUCCCUCCAGGGUCCAUCCGGUAGCACUCAAAACUUACUGAAAGAGCAUGGAGCUCACCCACCCUCUUCAUGGAAGUAAUCGCUACCAAGAAAUCCACCUUCAUAGAGAGGUGUUUCAGGGAGGCUGACUCCAACUGUUCGAAAGGCGGCUUUGUCAAACCUGCCAAUACCACAUCCAGAUCCCAGCUCGCCAUUGAGCGGGUCCUAGCUGGACGCACGGGACGAACCCCUUUCAUAAACCUGGAGACCAAGGGAUGGCACCCCUAUGGCUUCUCCAUCCACUCCACAUGGCAGGCAGAUAUAGCGACCAGAUAACCUCUCAGGGUAGAGGCUGCCAAACCCUCAUCGAAGCGAGACUACAGGUAUUGGAGGACAUUACUGCACCCAGCAUUACUCGGGCACAACCUCAAUACCAGUACACCAAGAGCAGAACAACCGCCAGAGCAACUGGUAUGCCGCAGUUGUAA
ensembl:lncRNA